UUCGUUUUGUGUAGCUCCUUGAUGACUUGUCCUUCCUUUCCAAAUCCUUGCUUCUCCGGGAUGUUAUUCGUUCAUAACGAUCAUCUCUACUCCUCCUCUCUCUUGGUGGUGAUUCUUCUCUUCUACUUCUCCUCUUGGGUGAUUCUUCUCUUCUUUUAUGGGGUGCCGUACACUCAUCUACUAUAUCUAAAUAGGAGCUCCCCACUACAUGACUUCUCUCAACAUGCAAGGCAUCCACAUCAGCAGCGCCAUGUCAUUGCUAAUCAACCUGCUCCCGCCCGCGCUUCUUCCAUUGCGAUCGCCUGGUUUUAUCGGCAGGCCAAGCGGUUCCCCCGCUGCAAAGCAUGGUUGGUUGACUAAACAGAAAACAAGCACCCCUCACUGUGUUUCCUCACUUUUUUGCAUUGUGGGUAUCCAAGCCCAAUAGGUAGAGGUCGUCUAGCCCAUGUAUUACAGGCCUGCGGCUGGGUUCGUUUCUCCUCAGUGCUUCUAUCCUGUCCGCAAGAUAACGCCCAACCUUCCUCUUCCACGCGCAGCCGCUGCUGCCCUCUCUUCCUCGCGCAGCGCCGCUCUCUCUUCCUUGCCCCAUGAAACCGCAGCUACAAAUGCAAGAAACGGCACCAUUUAUCGCCUCUCUUUACCCCACCCUUAAUUAUCUUGAAGUGUGGAAGAAAUUGCAGAUUUAAUUGACAAGUGGUCGCCUUCAUCUUUAAAAGGAUGAUGUCCUGUAGUCAUCGUCGAUCUAAUCGUGUCCUACUCUCAGAACAGGCUUGCACUCUGAUUGAGCUCCAGAUCCGAAGCUGCUCGGUGUUACAGGUCUCUUGCUACUCCAUCGAUUGAAAAUGGAUUCCAAUGUUGGUUCAUCUGAUUCAUCGCAUGAAAUAAUCAAUGUAAUAGAUAAGCAUCAAGACUGUCGUUAUGUUACACCAAAUGAGGUUCUUUGGCACUAAUCAAAGUUCCCCAUAAGGUAUGUCCCAAAGAAAAGCUUCUCGGUCAACAAAGCACAAAUAUUGCCCUCGACAAAGCCAUCUCCAAGCAAAGAACUGGUGACCCAACCAUCUUCAGCGAUAAGUAUUGAGAGGUACCCUUAUCAUUGAAUUUACAGAAGAUGAAACCACAUCAAGGAGAGACAACAUUGUGACAAUGAACAACUAAGAAGGAUGAGAUGAUAACAACAAUAAACAACAAGGUACUAUCUGUUUCCCGUCCAAACAAAAUUAUCAAAAAAAAAUGAGGAUAACCGUAUCCACAGAGCUCUUUUUUUAAUAGCAUGCAG